rnacentral:rRNA from 1 species
GCCCGCGAGGGAGCCCUAGCACAGGUGCUGCAUGGCCGUCGUCAGCUCGUGCCGUGAGGUGUUGGGUUAAGUCCCGCAACGAGCGCAACCCCGCCGUUAGUUGCCAGCGGUUCGGCCGGGCACUCUAACGGGACUGCCCGCGAAAGCGGGAGGAAGGAGGGGACGACGUCUGGUCAGCAUGGCCCUUACGGCCUGGGCGACACACGUGCUACAAUGCCCACUACAAAGCGAUGCCACCCGGCAACGGGGAGCUAAUCGCAAAAAGGUGGGCCCAGUUCGGAUUGGGGUCUGCAACCCGACCCCAUGAAGCCGGAAUCGCUAGUAAUCGCGGAUCAGCCAUGCCGCGGUGAAUACGUUCCCGGGCCUU